rnacentral:rRNA from 1 species
CCGGCAAGCGAUGGAUCCGCGUCCGAUUAGCCAGUUGGCGGGGUAAGGGCCCACCAAAGCGACGAUCGGUAGCCGGCCUGAGAGGGCGGACGGCCACAUUGGGACUGAGACACGGCCCAGACUCCUACGGGAGGCAGCAGUGGGGGAUAUUGCACAAUGGGGGAAACCCUGAUGCAGCGACGCCGCGUGGGUGAAGAAGUAUUUCGGUAUGUAAAGCCCUAUCGGCAGGGAAGAAAGAAGACGGUACCUGACUAAGAAGCCCCGGCUAACUACGUGCCAGCAGCCGCGGUAAUACGUAGGGGGCGAGCGUUAUCCGGAUUCACUGGGUGUAAAGGGAGCGUAGACGGCCGUGCAAGCCAGGAGUGAAAGCCCGGGGCCCAACCCCGGGACUGCUCUUGGAACUGUGCGGCUGGAGUGCGGGAGGGGCAGGCGGAAUUCCUGGUGUAGCGGUGAAAUGCGUAGAUAUCAGGAGGAACACCGGCGGCGAAGGCGGCCUGCUGGACCGCGACUGACGUUGAGGCUCGAAAGCGUGGGGAGCGAACAGGAUUAGAUACCCUGGUAGUCCACGCCGUAAACGAUGACUACUAGGUGUCGGGGCACGACAGUGCUUCG